rnacentral:rRNA from 1 species
UACAGAGGGUGCAAACGUUGCUCGGAAUUACUGGGCGUAAAGCGCGUGUAGGCUGACAUGCCAGUCGGGUGUGAAAUCCCAGGGCUCAACCUUGGAACUGCAUUCGAAACUGCACGUCUUGAGUACUGGAGAGGGAAGCGGAAUUCCGGGUGUAGAGGUGAAAUUCGUAGAUAUCCGGAGGAACACCAGUGGCGAAGGCGGCUUCCUGGACAGUAACUGACGCUGAGACGCGAAAGCGUGGGGAGCAAACAGG